AUCCAGAUGACGAGUCUUAAAUGGGACAAAACGCACGUCUUGGAU
rfam:Schistosoma margrebowiei strain Zambia genome assembly, scaffold: SMRZ_contig0000085